UGGGGAAUAUUGGACAAUGGGCGAAAGCCUGAUCCAGCCAUGCCGCGUGUGUGAAGAAGGUCUUCGGAUUGUAAAGCACUUUAAGUUGGGAGGAAGGGCAGUAAGCGAAUACCUUGCUGUUUUGACGUUACCGACAGAAUAAGCACCGGCUAACUCUGUGCCAGCAGCCGCGGUAAUACAGAGGGUGCAAGCGUUAAUCGGAAUUACUGGGCGUAAAGCGCGCGUAGGUGGUUCGUUAAGUUGAAUGUGAAAGCCCCGGGCUCAACCUGGGAACUGCAUCCAAAACUUGCGAGCUAGAGUAGGGCAGAGGGUGGUGGAAUUUCCUGUGUAGCGGUGAAAUGCGUAGAUAUAGGAAGGAACACCAGUGGCGAAGGCGACCACCUGGGCUCAUACUGACACUGAGGUGCGAAAGCGUGGGGAGCAAACAGG
rnacentral:rRNA from 1 species